GAUGAAGAACGUAGCGAAAUGCGAUACGUAAUGUGAAUUGCAGAAUUCAGUGAAUCAUCGAGUCUUUGAACGCACAUUGCGCCCUCUGGUAUUCCGGAGGGCAUGCCUGUCCGAGCGUCAUUGCUGCCCUCAAGCACGGCUUGUGUGUUGGGCUCCGUCCCCCGAUCCCGGGGGACGGGCCCGAAAGGCAGCGGCGGUACCGCGUCCGGUCCUCGAGCGUAUGGGGCUUUGUCACCCGCUCUGUAGGCCCGGCCGGCGCUUGCCGAUCAACCAAAUUUUUAUCCAGGUUGACCUCGGAUCAGGUAGGGAUACCCGCUGAACUUAAGCAUAUCAAUAAGCGGAGGA
rnacentral:misc_RNA from 1 species